rnacentral:rRNA from 1 species
UUUAACCCUGGGAAAUGCAUUUGUGACUGGCCAGGCUAGAGUAUGGCAGAGGGGGGUAGAAUUCCACGUGUAGCAGUGAAAUGCGUAGAGAUGUGGAGGAAUACCGAUGGCGAAGGCAGCCCCCUGGGCCAAUACUGACGCUCAUGCACGAAAGGUGGGGAGCAAACAGGAUUAGAUACCCUGGUAGUCCACGCCCUAAACGAUGUCAACUAGUUGUUGGGGAUUCAUUUCCUUAGUAACGUAGCUAACGCGUGAAGUUGACCGCCUGGGGAGUACGGUCGCAAGAUUAAAACUCAAAGGAAUUGACGGGGACCCGCAAAGCGGUGGAUGAUGUGGAUUAAUUCGAUGCAACGCGAAAAACCUUACCUACCCUUGACAUGGUCGGAACCCUGGUGAGAGCUGGGGGUGCUCGAAAGAGAACGACACACAGGUGCUGCAUGGCUGUCGUCAGUCGUGUCGUGAGAUGUUGGGUUAAGUCCCGCAACGAGCGCACUUGUCCUUAGUUGCUACGCAAGAGCACUCUAAGGAGACUGCCGGUGACAAACCGGAGGAAGGUGGGGAUGACGUCAAGUCCUCAUGGCCCUUAUGGGUAGGGCUUCACACGUCAUACAAUGGUCGGAACAGAGGGUCGCUAAGCCGCGAGGUGGAGCCAAUCCCAGAAAACCGAUCGUAGUCCGGAUCGUAGUCUGCAACUCGACUACGUGAAGCUGGAAUCGCUAGUAAUCGCGGAUCAGCAUGCCGCGGUGAAUACGUUCCCGGGUCUUGUACACACCGCCCGUCACACCAUGGGAGUGGGUUUUACCAGAAGUGGCUAGUCUAACCGCAAGGAGGAGGUCACCACGGUAGGAUUCAUGACUGG